rnacentral:rRNA from 1 species
AACGUAGGGGACAAGCGUUAUCCGGAUUUACUGGGCGUAAAGCGCCCGUAGGCGGCUUGAUAAGUUGGACGUGAAAGCUCCCGGCUUAACUGGGAGAGGCCGUUCAAAACUGACAGGCUAGAGUGAGGAAGAGGAGAGCGGAAUUCCCGGUGUAGUGGUGGAAUGCGUAGAUAUCGGGAGGAACACCAGUGGCGAAAGCGGCUCUCUGGUCCUAAACUGACGCUGAGGGGCGAAAGCGUGGGGAGCGAACGGG